rnacentral:rRNA from 1 species
AUUGAACGCUGGCGGCAGGCCUAACACAUGCAAGUCGAACGAGUGGCGGACGGGUGAGUAAUGUCUGGGAAACUGCCUGAUGGAGGGGGAUAACUACUGGAAACGGUAGCUAAUACCGCAUACCAUCGGAUGUGCCCAGAUUGGAUUAGCUAGUAGGUGGGGUAACGGCUCACCUAGGCGACGAUCCCUAGCUGGCCUGAGAGGAGGACCAUCCACACUGUAACUGAGACACGUCCCAGACGCCUACGGGAGGCAGCAUUGGGGAUUAUUGCACAAUGGGCGCAAGCCUUAUGCAGCCAUGCCGCGUGUAUGAUGAAGGCCUUCGGGUUGUAAAGUACUUUCAGCGGGGAGGCGUUACCCGCAGAAGAAGCACCGGCUAACUCCGUGCCAGCAGCCGCGGUAAUUC